GUGGGGAAUAUUGGGCAAUGGGCGAAAGCCUGACCCAGCAACGCCGCGUGAGGGAAGAAGGUUUUCGGAUUGUAAACCUCUGUCCUUGGUGACGAACACAAUGACGGUAGCCAAGGAGGAAGCCCCGGCUAACUACGUGCCAGCAGCCGCGGUAAUACGUAGGGGGCAAGCGUUGUCCGGAAUGACUGGGCGUAAAGGGCGUGUAGGCGGCCGAUUAAGUCUGGAGUGAAAGUCCUGCUUUCAAGGUGGGAAUUGCUUUGGAGACUGGUUGGCUUGAGUGCGGAAGAGGCAAGUGGAAUUCCCAGUGUAGCGGUGAAAUGCGUAGAGAUUGGGAGGAACACCAGUGGCGAAGGCGACUUGCUGGGCCGUAACUGACGCUGAGGCGCGAAAGCGUGGGGAGCGAACAGGAUUAGAAACCCUUGUAGUCC
rnacentral:rRNA from 1 species